rnacentral:rRNA from 1 species
UACGUAGGGUGCAAGCGUUGUCCGGAAUUAUUGGGCGUAAAGAGCUCGUAGGCGGUCUGUCGCGUCGGCUGUGAAAACCCGGAGCUCAACUCCGGGCCUGCAGUGGAUACGGGCAGGCUGGAGGCAGGCAGGGGAGAACGGAAUUCCCGGUGUAGCGGUGAAAUGCGCAGAUAUCGGGAGGAACACCGGUGGCGAAGGCGGUUCUCUGGGCCUGUACUGACGCUGAGGAGCGAAAGCGUGGGGAGCGAACAGG